rnacentral:misc_RNA from 1 species
UGCGAUGUCACUAUGUUUUGUUUUGUUCUUUUUAAAUUCCCUCUGAUCACAAAACUCAUGCUCUCAUGCUCUCUGUAAUUGAUGUCGAAAAUUCUCCAAUUAACCAAGAAUUUCGAGCCUCUCUCUUCUCUACCGCGAAACUAUAUAUUACAUAUCUUUCUUACUUGGUUUGAAGAUUGCUGUACAUGUCCCAGGGGAUUCCACUUGUUAUUGGUCGAGUUGUCAGUUUCUCAGUGGAUGGGGUAUUGAAGAAUAAUUAACUGUUCCUAUAACUAUAUGUUAGAGGAAAGCAUGACGAAUUUGUGGACGUCAAAAUACAAGGAUGGUGGUUUUGAGGGCAAAGCUAGCAAAUCACAAGCAGCUAAAUAUCAGGUUGAUGAGGGAAUCAAUGCUUAUAAAGAAAUACAGUUCACUGUAUUUCCACAAUUAGGUAAUUUGCUGUUCUGUGCAUGUGACCUGUCUUAUUGAAAUAUUUUUAGAGCUAGCUUACUUCCUGUAUUUUAUGAGCAUUUUGAGUUUUUGACUUUAACAUGCUAUUCAUCUGAAUCAUCUAAAUUCCAUUUAAUCGAGAUUAGUUGAGUGAUGGAGCUAUAAAUUGAGCUUAGGGGCCAAAAUGCCUUUCUCUACUUCUAUCAUAGGGCUACUAUAUAAAAAUGGAGAAACUCUACUAUAUAAAAAUGGAGAAACUAGUUUUUCUGAGUGUAUCUUCAGAAAAAAAUUAAAAAUAAUUUUACAAGCAAAAAAAAAGG